UGGCAACUGACAGACGGGUGAUGUGGUUCCACGACCAGGAAGCCAACCCAGGCUGCUGAAGAGGCUUUCAGCCGUAUUGGCACUGGGAAGGAGACGAGGAGGAUAUGAUGUUAAGGGACCUCCACGCCCAGCAGGAAAGGGGAGGAAAAGCAUUUAAGGGCAUGGCAAACAUCUGUCUACCAAACAUUUGCUUUUCCAUCUCCUUGUGAAUUACCUUCCUCCCCUUUGAAGUCCCAAACCACUACUCCCAACGUCCUCUUUCGUCUUUAGCUGAAGAUGAUAUUUGAGGUGGUGGCUUCAGCCAUUUUGUCAAAUUACUCAGUUUUCCUGGGUUCCUCCCAU
rnacentral:lncRNA from 1 species